rnacentral:rRNA from 1 species
UACAGAGGUCUCAAGCGUUGUUCGGAUUCAUUGGGCGUAAAGGGUGCGUAGGCGGCGCGGUAAGUCGGGGUGUGAAAUCUCGGAGCUUAACUCCGAAACUGCAUUCGAUACUGCCGGUGCUUGAGGACUGGAGAGGAGACUGGAAUUUACGGUGUAGCGGUGAAAUGCGUAGAUAUCGUAAGGAAGACCAGUGGCGAAGGCGGGUCUCUGGACAGUUCCUGACGCUGAGGCACGAAGGUCAGGGGAGCAAACGGG